rnacentral:rRNA from 1 species
GACGAACGCUGGCGGCGUGCUUAACACAUGCCAGUCGAACGGAAAGGCCCUGCUUUUGUGGGGUGCUCGAGUGGCGAACGGGUGAGUAACACGUGAGUAACCUGCCCUUGACUUUGGGAUAACUUCAGGAAACUGGGGCUAAUACCGGAUAGGAGCUCCUGCUGCAUGGUGGGGGUUGGAAAGUUUCGGCGGUUGGGGAUGGACUCGCGGCUUAUCAGCUUGUUGGUGGGGUAGGGGCUUACCAAGGCUUUGACGGGUAGCCGGCCUGAGAGGGUGACCGGCCACAUUGGGACUGAGAUACGGACCAGACUCCUACGGGAGGCAGCAGUGGGGAAUAUUGCACAAUGGGCGGAGGCCUGAUGCAGCAACGCCGCGUGCGGGAUGACGGCCUUCGGGUUGUAAACCGCUUUCGCCUGUGACGAAGCGUGAGUGACGGUAAUGGGUAAAGAAGCACCGGCUAACUACGUG